GCUGCUUGUCCCUGAGAGAUUUUUAAAAUUCUUAUUUUAAAAAGCCGAAGGCUUACCGCCUUUUAAGGGUGAGAGAUUUCAAGAAACAAAAGUUCCGACAGCGCUCCAAAUAGUGUUAACUGUGAGAGGUCCCUGGGGAAUUGGGGCGAUUCGUGAUUGGUGGAAGGGGUUUUCGGGACUGUGACGCGUUCGUGCUGCUCUGAUCGCGACGCGACUAAUCUUAUUCGAUGUAGAAUGACUUUUUACAUAGGUCAUGACUAAAUUUUUUAAGUAUUAACGAAAAUAACGAGAGAUUGGGAGCAAAAAGGGGAAAAAAAGGGGAAACUUCUAAAAUAGAGGAAAAAAAUGUCUUCUAAAAUUAGAGGAUGCAACCACCGCUAAACAAAAGAAGAACUUUCCGUUUAACCGAAAAGACUAAAUUUGCAUUACGUUAUUUGUGGUUCGCGAGAUAUUUGACCAAGAAAAAGACACCCAGAUUGACUUUGAGUUGAUUGUUUGUUGACUAGCAGACGACGAUAACUUUUAUCGGUGUGGCGUGUGGGUACUGGCUACUGGGGCGGCUGGGUAUUCAUUGGAAUUCAUCGAUCUAAUGAUUCUAAUAAGAAAAAAAAACCAUGCCUCCAGUGUCACAACUGAUGAUUCCUUUACCCAUCAAAUGCCAGAUUGGCAGAUAGUUCAAUAUGUGGGUGCUGAAUGAACUGGUAAACAUAAAAAAUGGAAUUGACAAUAGAUUACAUUUAUCAUCAGACAUUGCUCCCUUUCAGAAAAUUAUGUCUUGAAGAUGACGACAAGUUGCCAGUUGAUUUACAUGUCACCCAUAAUGAUAUCCUAGCACACCAUACUUUAUUCGGCAUGCAAAAAAAACUUUCCCUUCUAGCUUUCCCUCAUUUAAAGGCCUUGAUGUUAUGGUUAGCGAAAUUUUAUCAACAAAGAUAAAUUAAAGCUGCAGCUUUGGAAAAUGGAAUUGACAAUUAACUUUACAAUAGACAUACUACAGUUUCAGAACAGUUGGGCCCGCAUGAAGAUGACAAGUUGCCAGUCGAUUGACAUGUCACCCUAAGUUAUACCACAGCAAUGGAAUUGAUAUUUCAGAAAAAAAUUUCUUGAAAGUUGCCAGUCGAUUUACAUGACACCCUAAGUGAUAUCAUAGCAAGAGCUUGUCAUUUAGAUAGUUUGUUACCAUUCUUGAUUCAACAUUCAAAAGAAGCUUUCCCUCAUUUAGAAUGCCUUGAUGAUUUGAAAAAAAAAAAAAACUGAUAAUCUUCGACUUCCUGCAAAUUGGUACCCUUAAGCAAGAGCCUUGAAAAGGAAAAUUGUAUCUCAUUCUGGACCAACUAUUAUAGUGGAAAACAUAUCAUGUUCUUGAAAGGUUGUUUAAUUCAAAUCAGGAGUUUAUAGUAGUCCCUCAAUUUUUUAAUUCAAAAUCAGGAGUUUAUUAUGGUCCCUUAAAACUUUUAACAACUGAUGGGUAUUGCAAAAGGAAAUGAGUGUGGUGUCCCAUAUGAUUAGUAACUGGAGAAGAAAGAAAGUUUUCUAAUGCUACUGAUAUAUCCCCUUUUUCCCAUGUAUCCUGCACUGUUGAAACUCUUCUCCUGUUAAGUGCCAUCAUACAUAAAUAAUAAAAACGACUCUUGUGUUA
rnacentral:lncRNA from 1 species